CCUAGGGAGGCUGCAGUGAGGAAUAUUGGUCAAUGGGCGUAAGCCUGAACCAGCCAAGUCGCGUGAGGGAUGAAGGUUCUAUGGAUCGUAAACCUCUUUUAUAAGGGAAUAAAGUGCGGGACGUGUCCCGUUUUGUAUGUACCUUAUGAAUAAGCAUCGGCUAACUCCGUGCCAGCAGCCGCGGUAAUACGGGGGAUGCAAGCGUUAUCCGGAUUUAUUGGGUUUAAAGGGUGCGUAGGCUGUGAGGUAAGUCAGCGGUGAAAUGCCCCCGCUCAACGGGGUGAAGUGCCAUUGAUACUGCCUUGCUGGAAUGCGGAUGCCGUGGGAGGAAUGUGUGGUGGAGCGGUGAAAUGCAUAGAUAUCACACAGAACACCGAUUGCGAAGGCAUCUCACGAAUCCGCGAUUGACGCUGAUGCACGAAAGCGUGGGUAUCAAACAGGAUUAGAUACCCUUGUAGUC
rnacentral:rRNA from 1 species